UACGUAGGGUGCGAGCGUUAAUCGGAAUUACUGGGCGUAAAGCGUGCGCAGGCGGUUUUGUAAGACAGAUGUGAAAUCCCCGGGCUUAACCUGGGAACUGCAUAUGUGACUGCAAGGCUAGAGUACGGCAGAGGGGGGUAGAAUUCCACGUGUAGCAGUGAAAUGCGUAGAUAUGUGGAGGAAUACCGAUGGCGAAGGCAGCCCCCUGGGUCGAUACUGACGCUCAUGCACGAAAGCGUGGGGAGCAAACAGG
rnacentral:rRNA from 1 species